rnacentral:tRNA from 1 species
GGCGCUGUGGCGCAGCAGGUUAACGCCCUGGCCUGAAGCGCCGGCAUCCCGUAUGGGCUCUGGUUCUAGUCCUGGCUGCUCCU